rnacentral:rRNA from 1 species
GACGAACGCUGGCGGCGUGCCUAAUACAUGCAAGUAGAACGCACAGUUUAUACCGUAGCUUGCUACACCAUAAACUGUGAGUUGCGAACGGGUGAGUAACGCGUAGGUAACCUGCCUGGUAGCGGGGGAUAACUAUUGGAAACGAUAGCUAAUACCGCAUAAUAUUAAUUAUUGCAUGAUAAUUGAUUGAAAGAUGCAAUUGCAUCACUACCAGAUGGACCUGCGUUGUAUUAGCUAGUAGGUGAGGUAACGGCUCACCUAGGCGACGAUACAUAGCCGACCUGAGAGGGUGAUCGGCCACACUGGGACUGAGACACGGCCCAGACUCCUACGGGAGGCAGCAGUAGGGAAUCUUCGGCAAUGGACGAAAGUCUGACCGAGCAACGCCGCGUGAGUGAAGAAGGUUUUCGGAUCGUAAAGCUCUGUUGUAGGAGAAGAACGGGUGUGAGAGUGGAAAGUUCACACUGUGACGGUAUCUUACCAGAAAGGGACGGCUAACUACGUG